UUAUUUUUGUUUUCCUUCCCGUAUUUGAACAAGAAAACUGUUGCUUUAACUUCUGAGUUUUCCUUGUGCUCAAUAUGAAAGAUAUAAAUGUACCCAUCUUUGCCUAUACUAAUUUUUUCGAAGCGACCCGAACCAACAGCAAACCGCCAAGGGGAAUCGUCACCCUGAAAGUCAUAAUCACUCAAUGGCUUUUCGUGAGGUUGGUCAAUUAUGAAAAGCCCAGUGGGGAGGUCUCC
rnacentral:ribozyme from 12 species